AUUCUGCUUCCUGUAUAGUUUCAGACUUUGAAUCAAAUAUAUACUUUAUAUAUAUAAGGUAGUUUGUGGUGUAUGUGGUGAGGGCUUCAAGUUGCUUCCACUCAUGGUAGAUGGGGAAGGAGAGCCAGCAUUUGCAAAGAUCACAUGUUGAGAUAGGAAGCAAGAGAGAUAGGGGAGAUGCCAGGCUCUUUGUAUUGAUCAGCUUUCGCAGGAACUAAUGGAGAAAGAACUCACUGAUUACCAUGAGGAUGGCACUAAGCCAUUCAUGAGGGGAACCUGCCUCAAUGUAACAGCAAUAAGAUACUUACCAGAAUGUGGGCCAGCUGUGAGUAGCAUUUAGAUGGUCAUAAUACUGAUUCAAAAACCAUUUUUUAUGUGUAUGUGUGAAUGUUGGAUGUCAUAGCAUUGUAGGUCAACAGAGCUAAUACUCAGUUUAAGAAUAAGACAGUCAAUAGUUAAUACCUAAUAUUUUAAGAGGAAAAAAAGGAAGAAUGCAAAAGGCUAAAGUCCACCACUGCACAAACAUGUAUCUCCAUUAAAAAUCCAGCUAUAAAUUAGUCCCAGAGCUUCUUGAGCAAAAAAGUGCUGAAUCCCCUUGAGAAAAGAAAUUUACAUUGGGGCAAGGGAACUACAGAUAUUAUGCAAGUCCAAUAAUGAAAUUAACUCACUCAUCUCCACAGAGUAUACCGUUAUAAGGCUUGGCUGAAGACAAUAUGAUGCAGGAAGAGAAAAUGAGUGUUGGUAAGAGAUUCUCAGUUGCCUCAGAAAUUUUCCCAGCCUCACAUGAUGCUGAGGUUUCCCAUGAAAAGAAGCCAGUUCAAACAUUGCCAACAUUCCCAAUACCUGUGUAAAGUUUAGUGAUUUAGAGCAUCUUCAAGGGUUUAUCAGUCAUUUAUACAUCUUUGAGGAAAAAUAUCUGUUCAAGUGUCUUGUCUAUUUACCAUUUAGUCCUGAUAGCUGCCUGUGUGAUUACUAUAUACUUGAGAAUAAUUUUACUAAUAUGCUAUAUGAAGACUACCCAAAUAUAAACAAACAUAACCUAUUCAGAGUUUCCUACAGCAAGCUUGAGUGUGACAGAGAUUCAAAUGCAGGCAGGGGAGUGAGAAUGCUAUAUAGUGAACAAAUAGAAGGUUUCAGGUACACUCUGAUUAGAGGUCAUGAGGAUGCUCAAACUCAGCUAACUAACAGCAGGACAUAUUCUGUGGUUGGUUUUGGGAGUACAUUUGAUUUUACUUGGUUGGUCAUGAGUUGGAAGCAGGGAGAAAAAUAGGUAAGCAGUCAUACGCUGUCACGACCAAGUCCUGACAAUUCUGGGCCAGUUGAUGCAGAGGUUGUGGUUUGCAUUCUUGCGCUUAUUGUGAUAUGCAGUCUGGUCAUUGCUUAUUUGUAUAUUCAGUCUCUAAGCUCUGUGGUCCAUUAUUUCAAACUUGGAUCACAAUAAAGUAAUAAGAUAUUAUUCAUCACUUUAUAGUUGUAUGUUUAAAUGAAAUAAAUAUUAGAUUAGUUGUAAAUGAAAAUGACAGCUCAAUUUGUAACUCCAUUAAUAAUUUUGUUAUAUUUAUGUGAAACAUACUCCCUUAAUGUAUAUUUCCAAACACUCUCAUUAGCUAUCUCUUCACUGUAUAGUCAAAAAUAAUUUCAGAUCGUUGAUGUCAGCAAGAUGGCAGAAUAGAAGGAUAGAGUCUCUCCUUUCCCCCAUGGAGACAAAGACUCAACAACAAUGCAUGAAUCAAUUUCUUUUGUGAGAAAUACAGUUAAAGG
rnacentral:lncRNA from 1 species